AGUGGAUGGGGAGCAACCUAGUUGUGCGUGUGUAAAGGUAGUGCCAAGAAAAGCGAUGAUCAUGUUGAAAAUCAAUUCCCGGUACCCGAAACCGACACAGGUGGGCAAGUAGAGAAUACUAAGGGGCGCGAGGUAACUCUCUCCAAGGAACUCGUCAAAAUGACCCCGUAACUUAGGGAGAAGGGGUGCCACCGAGAGGUGGUCGCAGUGAAGAGGCCCAGGCGACUGUUUAGCAAAAACAUAGGUCUCUGCAAACUCGAAAGAGGAGGUAUAGGGGCUGACGCCUGCCCAGUGCCGGAAGGUUAAAGAAGUUGGUCAGUCUUAGGAUGAAGCUAGCGACUGAAGCCCCGGUGAACGGCGGCCGUAACUAUAACGGUCCUAAGGUAGCGAAAUUCCUUGUCGGGUAAGUUCCGACCCGCACGAAAGGCGUAACGAUCUGGGCGCUGUCUCGGAGAGAGGCUCGGCGAAAUAGGAUUGUCUGUGAAGAUACGGACUACCUGCAUUUGGACAGAAAGACCCUAUGAAGCUUUACUAUAGCUUGGAAUUGUGUUCGGGCUUCCUGUGCGCAGGAUAGGUGGGAGGCGUAGAAGGUAUUCUUGUGGGGAUACUGGAGCCAACGGUGAGAUACCACUCUCAGGAGGCUAGAAUUCUAACUUAAUUAAGGACAGUUUCAGGUGGGUAGUUUGACUGGGGCGGUCGCCUCCAAAAAGGUAACGGAGGCGUACAAAGGUUCCCUCAGACUGGUUGGAAAUCAGUCGAAGAGUGCAAAGGCAGAAGGGAGCUUGACUGCGAGAAGUACAGUUCGAGCAGGGUGGAAACACGGUCUUAGUGAUCCGACGGUGCUGUGUGGAAGGGCCGUCGCUCAACGGAUAAAAGUUACUCUAGGAUAACAGGCUGAUCUCCCCCAAGAGUUCACAUCGACGGGGAGGUUUGGCACCUCGAUGUCGGCUCAUCGCAACCUGGGGCGGAAGUACGUCCCAAGGGUUGGGCUGUUCGCCCAUUAAAGCGGUACGUGAGCUGGGUUCAGAACGUCGUGAGACAGUUCGGUCCAUAUCCGAUGUAGGCGUGAGAAUAUUGAGAGGAGCCUUCCUUAGUACGAGAGGACCGGGAAGGACGCACCGCUGGUGUACCUGUUAUGAUGCCAAUUGUAAACGCAGGGUAGCCAAGUGCGGAGAGGAUAACCGCUGAAAGCAUCUAAGUGGGAAGCCCACCUCAAGAUGAGUAUUCUGGUGUAAGGUCACGGGAAGACGACCCGUAAAUAGGCACGAGGUGGAAGUGCAGAGAUGUAUGAAGCCGAAGUGUACUAAUAGACCGUCGGCUUGAC
rnacentral:rRNA from 1 species